ensembl:lncRNA
GUUCCAGUGAACUGUGACCUCCCCUUCUGUGGUGGAGAGGGUCCAGCCAAUUCUGUGGCCAGCAGAGAUCGAAAAGGACACGAUGUCAACUGAAGUAAUGGAGUGUGCUUUGAAGACUGCACCAGAUGAUGAGGAGGCCUCUGAUAAUAGUGCUACUGUGGAGGUGUCUGUGACCAAGGAAGAAAGUGAAACUCCUCGGAAGAAGAUGAAAAAGCCAAAAAAGCACAAAAGUAAGAAGAAGAGGAAGAAGCGCAAGAGUGAGAAAGAGAGCAGCUCUGAAUCUGGGGAAUCUGACAGUGGAAUGCAAACGAGAGCCAGUGCGAAGAAGGUUGAACGUGUCUUCACAUCAAAGGGAGGCGAGCAAAUUCAAAUAAAAGAUGAAACAACAGGAAACUCCAUAGCAGACUUGCAUGGGGGUGAUGGCAAUGGGAAGGCCAAAAAACCCAAACGACAUACCGGGAAAAAGAAGAGGAGGGGUAGGAAAAAAGACGAUGAAAAACAAGACAGAAAAUCCCCCUCUCAUUCACAGUCAGAAAGCAGUGCUGCUUCGGGGUCCGAAUCGGAAUCAGAAUCUAAACAGUUGUUGGCUACUGACAACACGGACCAAAAGACUGCCAUGGAUUCUUCUGAGGUACUUUCGAAAGGCCGGAUUAAGCCUCAUCUUGAAGAAACAGUUGAUGCUAAAACUAUUAAGUCAGAACCUUCUGUUGAAAAAACUAAAGCGGUCCAGUGUGAUGGCGAUGGAUUGCAUGAGAAUUUGGCAAAAGGAGAGGACCACUGUGAAACCACUGUGAAGGCGGUGCAAUGCUUCGGUGAAAAUGGGAACUUUAGCAAAGUGCAGGACCUGCCUGAUAUAAUUCCCAAACAAGAAAAUCUUCAGAAGGAGGAUGCUACGUCAUGUUCAAAGGAAACAAAUGGAGAUCAGACAGGAAAGAGUGGUCUGUGUCCAGCGGAAAGUCCCUCUCCCUCGCGAUCUCGGUCAAGAUCUUUCUCGGACACCAAAAGGGUGAAAACAAGCCCAAGUUGCUCGCCAAGCCCUCGCCGUCCUCUUGCUAAGUCAGCUGCUCGAAAGCAACGGUCUUCCUCCAGGGCUAGGUCUACAUCAGGCCCCAGGAGGAGAGCUAGUCAGAAAAGGAAACCUUCAAGGUCACCAUCACCAAAACGUAGGUCGAGGUCCAGAUCAGUCAAGCGGUCAGGACGGAGGUCUAGGUCCCUUUCUACUAAGAUAAACCGCCACUCUGUCUCCAGAUCAGGCAACAGAAAGAGAAAGUCUAGAACCAGGUCACCAAGGCAUGGCAGGCGAACAAGAUCAAAGUCCAUUGGGCGUAUGCGUCGGUCAAGAUCCAGGCAAUCUUUGUCACGUAGAAGGAAUCCCAGAUCCAGGACAAGGUCACGCUCUCUAAGGAGAGGCAGAAUCUCAAGAUCUCCUUCACGCACACGCAAGAGGACACCAGUAUCCCGGUCUAGGAGGUCACGUUCUAGGUCAGUUCGGAGAAACAGGCGGACACGAUCAAGAUCUGUUGUUGUUCUGCGGCGGUCUAAGUCUGACUUAAGGAGAGCCAAGAGAUCUACGUCACGGUCCACCCGUAAAAACAGGUCGAGUUCCAGAACACCAAGGCGACUAACUAAAUCUCGCUCGAAGUCCCCAGCAAGACGAAUGAUAUCAAAAUCUAGGUCCCCACAGAGGACUCGUUCUGAGUCUAAAUCUCCCAAACACAACAAACGAUCAAAAUCCAGAUCCACGUCAGGUCCUAAGCAUUCAAGGUCCAGAUCACCUGUGGCAAGCAGCAGACGACUUAAAACUGCCAAAAGGAGAGAGCAUUCAAGAUCAAAUUCUCCAAACAGAGACAAAUCAAUAUCUAGAUCUGUCUCAGGUGGCAGGAGGUCCACAUCUAGGAGUCUUUCUCCAACUGAAGGGCACUCGAAAACACGUUCCCUCUCUAAAGAUGAGAAAUCGACUAAAACUCAAAAGCUGAAGCAUAUAAUGAAAAAAGAUGAUGGAUCCCCCUCACAUGGAACUACAGGCAGUAGUUCUGAUAACGAGGACAUAGUAGUAUCUCCUGCAGGACCAUGGAAAAAGGUUCCGAUGGCUGAAAAGAGUCAGUUCAAGUCAGGUACUGAAAGUACGUCUCAAAAGACUUCUAGGAGGAGCCUCUCGGGGGGUUCAUCAGAUGAGCAGGAAAUGGCAGCAUCUGAAGUUGAGCAGAAGCGAGAUGACUCUAAAAACCCAACUACUGUACCAUGUGAUGGAGACAAACAAUCUACCUCACAUUUAUCUUCACCUGAAAAGGCAUCAUCUCUGGCCACUUCCAAGGGACACCAUGAUCUCUCUAAGUCAAACAGGAAGGAAGACCUUGACCGUGAUGGAUCCGACCAUUCAAGAGCGUCUUCACCGGGUAGCACCAAACAUGAAGAAACUAAAUCAUCCAGCAAAAUAAGAACAAGCUUGUUGAAAUUAAGACGGUUGUCAACAUCACUAUCGCCUGCAAGGAAAAAGCAUUCAGAAUCUAGGUCUCCCUCCAUAAGAAGAAAAAUCUCAAAAUCAAAGUCCCCUGCACGGAAAAAACGCUCCAGAUCGAGAUCAUCCAGCCGAAGAAGACAUUCAAAAUCGAAAUCUCCAAUUAGACGAAGAAGAUCAAGGUCUAGGUCCCAAGCACAGAAAAGAAAGUCAAGGUCCCCAUCUCGUGGAAGAAGAAAAAGAUCCAAAACAAAGUCUCCGGUGAGAAGGAGAAGAUCAAGGUCAACUGCACGAAGGAGAAAAUCGUGGUCCAAGUCUCGUACUCGUGCAAAGCGUUCUAAGUCUAGAUCACCAAAAAGAAGACGAUCAAAAUCACGAUCUCCAGUCAGAAAGAGACGUUCAAAGUCACGAUCACCAGCUAGAAGGAAGAGCUCAAAAUCCAGAAAUGACAGUAAGCGCUCCAAGUCUCGUUCCCUUGGCAGGAAGAGGAGGUCUCGCUCCCGAUCCAUAACACGGAACCGGCGAUCUCGCUCAAGGAGGUCUCGCUCCGGUUCUCGUCACCGGAGGCCAGCUUUCCGAAGUCGCUCCUUUGAUCGGCGAGACAGAUGGAAACGUGAACCAAGCCACUCUCCCAUCCUAAUACUUCGAAAAAGGAGAUCCACCUCCCGAGCUCGCCGGAGCAACAGCAAAACACCACCUCGCCUCACUGAUCUUGACAAGGACCAGUUACUGGAGAUAGCAAAAGCUAAUGCUGCUGCUAUGUGUGCUAAGGCAGGAGUGCCCAUCCCUGAGAGUUUGAAACCUAAAGCUAUUCUUCAACUGCCUCUUCCAACCCCAACUCCUCAACCUCUGUCAUUACCCUUGCCUCUACCCAUGAAUCUGCCAAUGAGUCUGCCCAUGGGUAUGCCAGGGAUGCCCAACAUGCCCAUGAAUGCUGCCAUGGCCAGUAUGACUGCAGCUACAAUGACGGCAGCCCUUUCCAACAUGGGUGCAUUGGCAGCUAUGCCCCCCAUGCCACCACUUCCCACCAUUACCAACAAACCACCUCCUGUGCCCACACCAAAUCUUGCCAAUAUUGCGGAAGUGAAGAGAAAGGUGACACAGCAGGCCAACAGCUUCAGCAUCAAGGAACUCACAGAGGUCAGUAUAUUACAUAUAUAUUAUUGCUUAAGAAAAAAUCCCAGUUCUCUAUCCCUUUCGCAUAAUUACUUCAGUUGUGGAGUGUGA